rnacentral:lncRNA from 1 species
CAUCCAACAUUCUCUAGAAUCUAGGUACAUGAGUUAAGUUAUUGAUUCCUUGCUUAUCUUGCUUGCUUGCAGAUUACACAUUUGAGAAAAAUGAAGAGAAUAUUAACUACAAAGGAUUUUUUAAUGGUAUAUUUUAUGAAGGCAAGACAAGACUAUGUAUUUUUAAGAUACAGAUACUGUCUGCUUGCCAAGCUCAUCCUUUUUUGUCAUGUCUCCCUAUAAAACAUCUGUGUGUCUGGUAGGCUCCUCAGAGUGACAUUGUGGCCCUAUGAGUGUUCAAGGUAACCAGCAUCUUCAAUGAAUCCACAUUUUAAUGAAUAUAUUAUAUUUUCAUUAUAAAUAAUCAUAAAAAAUCCUUUAUAAAUACUGAUAUAUUUAACACACUUAUAUAAUUUGGUAAGCAAUCUAAGUCGUGGGUUAAAGAAUUUGGUUAACACUUAAGAAAACUCAUAUUCCUAUAAUCUCAUAUUAUUUACCUGCACUAUUUGAUAACUUUUUUAUAGUUUAUUCCAGGACCUAUAAUUUGUUUCCUUCAUUUUCCUGAAAGACCUUGUAGAGGAAUGCUAUCAUUUUCAUAAAAAUGAAAAAAAAAAAGUAAACUUCUAUUAAGCAUUGAGUUAGUCCUCAAAAUCACCACAAGAGCCCCUAUGGAGACAUAGUCAUAUGACCUUAGAGG